GGUCUUUCCAGCUUCACUGGAGCUUAUAAGGUUCAGCAGAAAGCACUCCCAUUGUUCGACAGCAUAUGCCUCUAACUCCUCCAAGCUAGGAAGCCUCACAGUGAUAUUAGAAGGCAUUGGUUCCCUUGGUAAGACUCCACCAUAGACUAUAUGCUUCUGAAGAUUAAAUUGAAAUUUUGGGUUUAGUUGAUACAUGGCUUCCUUUUUCCUGUCAAAUGUUUCUGUCAUUACUCUCAGCUGUAUCAAUCUAUCAAUGGCAACUUUAUGCUUUGAGAAUCCAUCUG
rnacentral:misc_RNA from 1 species